GAUGAACGCUGGCGGCACGCUUAACACAUGCAAGUCGAACGGGAAGUGGUGUUUCCAGUGGCGAACGGGUGAGUAACGCGUAAGAACCUGCCCUUGGGAGGGGAACAACAACUGGAAACGGUUGCUAAUACCCCGUAGGCUGAGGAGCAAAAGGAGAAAUCCGCCCAAGGAGGGGCUCGCGUCUGAUUAGCUAGUUGGUGAGGUAAUAGCUUACCAAGGCGAUGAUCAGUAGCUGGUCCGAGAGGAUGAUCAGCCACACUGGGACUGAGACACGGCCCAGACUCCUACGGGAGGCAGCAGUGGGGAAUUUUCCGCAAUGGGCGAAAGCCUGACGGAGCAAUGCCGCGUGGAGGUGGAAGGCCUACGGGUCGUCAACUUCUUUUCUCGGAGAAGAAACAAUGACGGUAUCUGAGGAAUAAGCAUCGGCUAACUCUGUG
rnacentral:rRNA from 1 species